rnacentral:rRNA from 1 species
CUCCUACGGGAGGCAGCAGUGGGGAAUCUUGCGCAAUGGGGGCAACCCUGACGCAGCCAUGCCGCGUGAAUGAUGAAGGCCUUAGGGUUGUAAAGUUCUUUUGCCCGUGACGAUGAUGACGGUAACGGGAGAAUAAGCUCCGGCUAACUUCGUGCCAGCAGCCGCGGUAAUACGAAGGGGGCUAGCGUUGUUCGGAAUUACUGGGCGUAAAGCGCGCGCAGGCGGUUCGAUAAGUUAGGGGUGAAAUCCCCGGGCUCAACCCGGGAAUGGCCUUUAAGACUGUCGAGCUAGAGGACGAGAGAGGUGAGUGGAAUUCCCAGUGUAGAGGUGAAAUUCGUAGAUAUUGGGAAGAACACCGGUGGCGAAGGCGGCUCACUGGCUCGUUUCUGACGCUGAGGCGCGAAAGCGUGGGGAGCAAACAGGAUUAGAUACCCUGGUAGUCCACGCCCUAAACGAUGAGUGCCAGGUGUCGGGAAGCUUAGCUUCUCGGCGCCGCAGCUAACGCCUUAAGC